CCGCUGCUUGUUCCUCUCCACGGCCUUCUCAUCCGCUUGCCCCGGCGACACGCCCCGCCCCGCCCAUCGCUCGGUGUCCGGCGACCUCUGGGCUGCCCCCGCCCACCGCUCCUUCCACGCCCCGGCAAACUCCCGGCCACGCGCCCCAGUCGCCGCCCACGCUUCGGCGAUAUCCCGGCCGCCAUUGCGUGCCCCUGUGACCUCCCCACCGCCUGCACUCCGGCACCUCCUUCGACGACGAGCCGCCGCUCCUCGAGGAGCUCAGCAUCAGCACGCGCCAAAUCUGGAGCCACCCGCUCGCCGACCCCUCGCCCGUCGCUCCUUCCACGCCCCAGCGAACUCCCGGCCACACGCCCCGGCCGCCGCCUUUGCUCCGGCGCCCUCUCGGCUAGUCGCCGCCCGCCCCUCCUUCCACACCCCGGCGACUUCCCAGCCGCCGUCACGUGCCCCU
rnacentral:lncRNA from 1 species